rnacentral:rRNA from 1 species
CCUACGGGUGGCAGCAGUGGGGAAUAUUGCACAAUGGGGGAAACCCUGAUGCAGCGACGCCGCGGGAGGGAAGAAGGAAUUCGGGAUGGAAAGCUCUAUCAGCAGGGAAGAAAAUGACGGUACCUGAGUAAGAAGCCCCGGCUAACUACGUGCCAGCAGCCGCGGUAAUACGUAGGGGGCAAGCGUUAUCCGGAUUUACUGGGGGUAAAGGGAGCGUAGACGGCAGAGCUAGUCUGGAGGGAAAGGCGGGGGCUCAACCCCCGGACUGCUCUGGAAACGGUCCGGCGGGAGUGCAGGAGCGGUAAGUGUACUUCCUCGUGUAGCGGUUACAUGCGUAGAUCUUAGGCGGCACCCCAGUGGCG